UGGGGAAUCUUGGACAAUGGGCGCAAGCCUGAUCCAGCCAUGCCGCGUGGGGGAUGAAGGUCUUCGGAUCGUAAACCCCUGUCGAAUGGGACGAAAGACUCGCGAGUGAAUACUUCGCGAGAGUGACGGUACCGUUAAAGGAAGCCACGGCUAACUCUGUGCCAGCAGCCGCGGUAAUACAGAGGUGGCAAGCGUUGUUCGGAAUUACUGGGCGUAAAGGGCGCGUAGGCGGCCCUCUAAGUCAGACGUGAAAUCCCCCGGCUUAACCUGGGAACUGCGUCUGAUACUGGAGGGCUUGAGUAUGGGAGAGGGAUGUAGAAUUCCAGGUGUAGCGGUGAAAUGCGUAGAUAUCUGGAGGAAUACCGGUGGCGAAGGCGGCAUCCUGGACCAUUACUGACGCUGAGGCGCGAAAGCUAGGGGAGCAAACGGGAUUAGAUACCCUGCUAGUCCCUGAGCGGGCUGGCAAGGCGCAU
rnacentral:rRNA from 1 species